rnacentral:lncRNA from 1 species
GGUGAAAAUUAGAGAUAAGUGGCAUUUAAAAGAGGGAAAAAAAUUUGAAAAAAAUGUGAGGAAAAGGCAAGGAAAAUGAGAGGCAAAAGUUAUAAGAAUGGUGGUGAGAGGAUUAGCAAGUGUUGCUAGUAUACUCUAGGGUUUGAUUUUUUCAUGUGUUAGAGUCUAAAAUCAAAUCCUAGAUUAUGACAUCUGAAGAGUGUCUUCUUGGCAUGAUUUUGAUGACAAGAUUGAAGGCGACCGGGUUUUAGUGUGAUCGUACUUUGAGUUCGAAGUCGGCAGUAUUCUUAAGAAGACAAGGUUGCAGCGGUACAC